CCUACGGGCGGCAGCAGUGAGGAAUAUUGGUCAAUGGGCGCGAGCCUGAACCAGCCAAGUCGCGUGAGGGAAGACGGCCCUACGGGUUGUAAACCUCUUUUGCCGGGGAGCAACGCUGCGGACGUGUCCGCAGGUGAGAGUACCCGGAGAAAAAGCAUCGGCUAACUCCGUGCCAGCAGCCGCGGUAAUACGGAGGAUGCGAGCGUUAUCCGGAUUUAUUGGGUUUAAAGGGUGCGUAGGCCGGCUGUCAAGUCAGCGGUAAAAAUUCGGGGCUCAACCCCGUAAAGCCGUUGAAACUGGCGGUCUUGAGUAGCGGCGAGGCAUGCGGAAUGCGAGGUGUAGCGGUGAAAUGCAUAGAUAUCACGCAGAACUCCGAUUGCGAAGGCAGCAUGCCAGCCGCCGACUGACGCUGAGGCACGAAAGCGUGGGUAUCGAACAGGAUUAGAUACCCCUGUAGUC
rnacentral:rRNA from 1 species